CUUGGUCAAAGCGGUAAGUUUUAGGAAUGCUUUAGAGAGUGAAACAAAGUUAGAGAGGCAGAGAGGUUUAGGGAGGGAAUUUCAGAGCUUGGGGCCGAGGCAACAAAGUCUCAGGAUAAGGGGGCAAUCAUUUAGGACUGAGAUAAGGAGAAAUUACUUCACUGAAAGGGUUGUGAAUUUUUAGAAUUCUCUAUUCCAGAAGUCUUUGGAUUCUCCAUUGUUGAAAAUAUUUAAGGCUGAUCUCACAAGGAAUUAAGGGAUUUAAGGGAGCAGGCAGGAAUUUGGAGUUGAAGCCCUAAAUCGGGCAUGAUCAUAUUAACAGGCAGAGCAGGCUUGACAGGCCAAAUGGUCUACUCCUGCUCCUAUUUUUUUGUUCUUGUUCUCGAAGGUUUGGCCACCAAUGGUGAAGUGCCCAAAAUAACACUAUAAAUAUUGCAUUGGUUUGACAAGAACUUCAUUCAGCAAAUGUUUAUCUUCCAUGUUAAUCCAGGACAACGAAAGGAUGUCCCAAAGCAUUUCACAGUAACAGACUUAAGGGAAGGCAAAGGAUACUUCAAGCUUGACUGUUGACAUUACUCAGAUACCCAACAAAUGAUGCCCAACAUCACUACAACAAAUUACAUAUGACUACAAAGCUAUUGGCAUGCUCUGAAGUUGCUACAGAUGCCUAGUUGGAUUUCCAAUACACACCAGCCAAGAUGUCCAGGAUGGUGAUGGUGUGCUGCUCUUUGCAUAUUACACAGCAGCAAGGUUUGAACCUGUAGUAAGGACAAUGCAAUGAGCUCCAAUCCACUUCAGAUGUUUCUGAGGAGGAGGAAGAUUGGGAGCAGGAAUUUUAUGGAGCCUGCAAGAACAAGAAAUGUGGUGGAAAUGUGAACUUAGUUAGGCAGGAGCUGAAAUUUCAAUUUCCUGACAUUGGGUUGAGAUGCAGAGUCAGUGGUGUGUUUGUGGUGUGGUGGGCCUCACAGGUCCUGUGGCGGGGUUCCUGCCUGUAAUAAAUCUACAUGCUCUGAAUACUCAUUUUAUUGAUUUUUUUUAUUAUGUCUUACUUUCAAGAUUAAGUUAGCUGCACACGAGAAUCUUGUGGCACACGGUUCAUGAUCAUUUACAGGUGGAGCGCAACAUUCAGCUUUGUGCACUUGUACUUGAGCACAGUUCAAUUGCUGUGUCUCAUUCACCAAUAUUCCUGCAACCUUGGGAACAGUAGGAGAGAAUGCACCAAAGGAGGGCUCUUGCCAGCCCAUAGAGGCCACAAUUCCUGCAGCAGGCAGCAGCAGAGGGGGAGGCUGGUCAGGAUGCAGCCAUCCAGGGAAGGCAUCAAAGGCAGAUACUAGCAUGUCAAUGCAUCCUCAGAACAAGAAUUAACUAACUGCAGAGAUCUGAGGCAAUGACUGAGGAUGUCCCAGAAGCUGGGAUCGUUUAGCAAGUCCUGCAGCCAUGUUGCUUUGGUGGGAACCCCAAGCCAAGGACUAUCCAUUGCAGACAUGAUUGAUGACACCAGUGAGGCUUCCCCAAAAUGCAGCAGCGAUACAAUCAAGCUCAUGCCUCCACCAGAGUCAUCAUCAAACACACCAUUGGCUCACUGAAAAUGUGCUUCUGCUGCCUUGAACAACUUAGAGGGGCUCUGCAGUAUGCAGCACAGAGAGUGUCAUGAGAGUGGUCUGCUGUGCACUGCUCAACCUGGCCAUUCUAUGUGGACACAACAGGAUGAGUGUGAGAAGCAUCACUCCUCCUCAAAGAGGAUUAAUUGUAUGAGCCUGAGGAGGAGACCAUGAAUCUGAAUUACCUUAUAAUGUAUGUCAGAACCAUCAAGAGACAUGCAAGGGAUACCGGGGACAACCUGAUCUAUACAUGGUUCGCCCAAGUGUGAGGCAGCUACAUGACCGUCUUCCCAUCAGGAGAACUCUUUUGCCUUCCUGUGAUGUAGACCUACCCGCUCAUCCUCCCUUGCAUCCUCCACUCCCCAUCUGUAAACCUGCAUCCUCUGCCAUCUAGAACAGGCUACCUAGAAAAGUUCGACCCCGGAAUACUGACAUCUGUGCCAAAAACUGUCAGCCUAUCAUGACCCUGCUCCAUCUUUAAAGUGCUUUGAAUGCACCUAUACCAUCUCAGUUAUACCUGUUGAGAGUAAUCUGGACAAAUCUACUUUAGAGUGCAGGGGGAAUCACUGAGUCUGGAUCUUGUGCAUUUCCUACAAACUGGUGGGUACAAAAUUGGAAACUUACAUUCAAUAAACAUUGCACAGAAACACAAAACAUCUUCCUAAUAAAGGCAA